CCGGUCGACUUCGCCGUUCGUCUUCGCCGUCCAAACUAAUUCACUUGCAAAAUGGUGGAUUAAAAUGGAAUGUAAGUAGUAGCUUUGGAAACCCAAGGAUGAGUGGAGGUUUUUGAAUUAUAUGUGAUGCAAGGAAAUUUUGUU